GCGUUAACGAACGAGACCUCAGCCUGCUAACUAGCUAUGCGGAGGCAACCCUCCGUGGCCAGCUUCUUAGAGGGACUAUGGCCGCUCAGGCCACGGAAGUUUGAGGCA
rnacentral:rRNA from 2 species